GAGAGAGAGAGAAAAGGAUGGACACAGGCUACCUCCGCUGGAUGACUCAGGAAAUCAAUUUGUCUCCAGAUGAUUGCUUCCGAAUGCAGGGAUGGUAUGGGCAUUAGUCAUCUCGACAGCGACCCCGUGUGAAGGCGUAGUAAUGAGGUAGCUGCCCCACCCUCAACCGCCGGGUGGGAAAGUUCUGGUGAAACCCACGUAAUGGUCUCGGAUCGGCUCUUCCGUGAAAGAGAUGCCGCACAGUGAAACUGAGGCUGGAGUGGCUCCAAACAUGUGCUUCCUGUUGUGUCUCGUUGCUGCUAAGGAAGGGAGCGCUGGGAUAAACAGAGCAGACGCUCGCUCACAUCUGGCGAGGAAGGUCCCAGAUGUGGGAUAUCACUGGCACACAUUCCGUGGUCCCCAUUGAGUCAUCACACCCCACCCAGGGCCGCCUGCGAAGCGCAUUCCCUGGCCCACUCUAUUGAACCACCAGUUCCCACAGCAGCAAAGAAUGGAGAACAGUCAUCUAAUCUACCACAGAAACCCAGUAGAAUAAAACAAUAUGAUGCAGAAGCAAAAACUUCCCAGGACCUGGAAUAUAACAAAGAGCUAGAAGCAUCGCUUUCUGGAGGUGCGCCAUGUUGCCGUAAGUGGGUAAUGACUUUACUAACACUAGAGUUCUUUCUUUCCUUCUUUCUCUCUCUCUUUCUU